UACGUAGGUGGCAAGCGUUGUCCGGAUUUAUUGGGUUUAAAGGGUGCGUAGGCGGCUUUGUAAGUCAGUGGUGAAAUAUGGCAGCUUAACUGUCAAGGUGCCAUUGAUACUGCGGAGCUUGAGGACUGGAGAGGAGACUGGAAUUUACGGUGUAGCGGUGAAAUGCGUAGAUAUCGUAAGGAAGACCAGUGGCGAAGGCGGGUCUCUGGACAGUUCCUGACGCUGAGGCACGAAGGCCAGGGGAGCAAACGGG
rnacentral:rRNA from 1 species